GAAGCGGGAACCUGGCACGGCCAAGGCCGGUCAGACCAGGAGUGCCGGCGCGCAAGUGCCGGCGGCG
rfam:Frankia sp. EAN1pec, complete genome.